GGAUGAGGAUUGGGGAUGGGGGCAGGGCAGGGGACACGGAAGGGGAUGGGGUGACGGGGACAGGGGGGCAGGGACAGGGCAGGGGAUGAGGAUUGGGGAUUGGGACAAGGAAGGGGACAGGGUGAUGGGGACAAGGAUGGGGGACAAGGAAGGGGACGAGGAUUGGGGAUGGGGACAGGGUGACAGGGACAAGAAUGGGGGACAGGGCAGGGGACAAGGGUGGGGACGGGGAUGGUGGCGGGGACAGGGCAGGGGAUGAGGAUUGGGAAUGGGGACAGGGCAGGGGACAGGGGGACGGGGACAAGGAUGGGGACAGGGCAGGGGACAAGGAUGGGGGACGGGGAUGGGGACAGGGCUGGGGGACGAGGAAGAGGACGGGGAUGAUGGCAAGGAUGGGGACGGGGAUAGGGACAAGGUUGGGGAUGGGGACAGGGCAGGGGACAAGGACUCGGACAGGGGGACGGGGACAGAGCAGGGGACAAGGAUGGAGACGGGGGGAUGAGGACGGGGACAGGGGGAUGGGGACAAGGAUGGGGACGGGGACAGGACAGGGGACAAGGACUUGA
rnacentral:lncRNA from 1 species